GUUUAUUUAUUCACAGUUUUAAAUGUGUCAGUUUUGAAACAAAGAUUCAUAUGUAUGUGCAUAAUUUUUAGCUAUUUACAGUUUUAAAUGUGUCAGUUUUGAAACAAAGAUUCAUAUAUUCCUGUUAUUAUUGGCUCAUUAUUUAAAGAGUGUAAAAAGCUGUCUUGUUAAGGAAUUGCACCAAUACUUAGAAUUCUAAUGAAAGGUGAACUCUAUGAAGAACUUGGCAAAGAAGCUUGAAACUUAUUUCCAUGGUGUUAUGUGGAGUCUACAUUAAUAAAGAGUUUUCCUUUUUUUACUAUGUAC